CCCGCCACUAUGCCGGUCUGUCAGAGUGACUGAGUAUAAUCCAGUGGAGGCUCAGAUUAAAUCAGCUUUAGGAAACAGGGCUGCCCGAACUCAUGGACAGCUCUGUGCCGAAAAGUCUGGGACACCA